rnacentral:misc_RNA from 1 species
AUGAAUUUAAGAGCUUCUAAUUUAACAUUAGAGCUCGCUCCUUCAUUUCCAACCCUGUGAACAUAAUUUUGAAUUGGUGAACUAACGUUUGCCAAUUCGCCCAUUACAAACUCUACAAGUUUAAGAAUGUAACAAAUACAAAACAAAA